UAUAUAUACUAACGUGUGUGUAUAAGUAUAUAUGUGUAUAUAUCGUACAUACAUACAUUCAGAGAGAGAGAGAGAGAGAGAGAGAGCGAGAGAGAGAGAGAGAGAGAGAGAGAGAGAGAGAAUUGGCCCAUAUGUUGGUGGAGGCUGAUGAGUCCCAAGGUCUGUGUUUGGCAGGCAGGCUGGAGACCCAGGAGAGUGGAUGGUGCAAGUUUCAGUCUGAAGGCAGGAAAGACCCUGACAUCCCAGCCAAACAGCAGGGCAGGAGGAGUUCUAUCUUACUUCGCCCUUUUGUUCUGUUCAGGUCUUCAGUUGACUGGACGAGGUCCACCAGUAUGGGGGAAGACAAUCGACCAUACUCAGUCUCCCAACUCAAAUGUUUGUCAUGCAGAAAUACCCUCCCAGACACACCCAAGAGAAUAUUUAACCAGAUGUGAGGGCGGCCGUGGCCCAGUCAGGUUGACGCAUGAAAUCAACCAUCGCAGACACCAUGGUGUUUUUCUGUUAGAACAUUCUGACGUCUCCCUCGGAUUUCACAGUGUGCUGCACAGACCCACAGCACAGGGAGUGCAAAAUCAUUUGAAGCGUCUAGCUUCCUGGGUCAGCAGUAUUGAAUGGGUUCUGGAGUGUGUGACUCGUGUGCACUUCAAAAGCUUGGAGAGAAGAACUUCCCAGCUGUGUGGCGGAAGUGGGCCCUGGGUGCAGAGCUGGAAGCUUCCAAAUUCUCUGCGUGGGAGACUCAGGACUACCUCCACAUCCCGGGCUGCCCAGAGAGGUCUGAAGGCCCCAAGAGCAGGUGCCAGGGAGCGGGUGGCUCCGGCCGUACUGAGGCAGGGCUGCUGGCUCCUGCUCCGGCCUCUGUGCCUCUGAGCUAGCUGUCCUGGGACAGAGAAAAAUGCCUGCAGGAACUCAACUGAUCCACGAGGGAUGUGCGCAAUGGGCUCUGUUCUCCUGAGUUCUAUUGAGGGAAAUUUCAAGUUAAGGAGGAGGAAGAAAAUACACCACUGAUUUUAUUUUUGAGAUGGAGUCUUGCACUGUCGCCCAGGCUGGAGUGCAGUGGCACGAUCUUGGCUCACUGAAACCUCUGCUUCCUGGGUUCAAACGAUUCUCCUACCAGUAGCUGGGAUUACAGGCACCUGCCACCAUGCCAGGCUAACUUUUGUGUUUUUAGUAGAGAUGGGUUUUUUGUCAUGCUGGCCAGGUUGGCCUCGAACUCCUGACCUCAAGUGAUCCACCUGCCUUGGCCCCCCAGAGUGCUGGGAUUACAGGCAUGAGCCACCGUGCCUGGCCACCACUUACUUUAAAAUGCAUUUUUUCCCCUCAGGGGAAAAUUAGCAGCUAUUAUGAUUUCCUGCUUUUUGUAAGAAUGUUUUUUCAACUUCUAAUGUUUCAGACUUACCGGAAGCUCCCUGCUAUUUAGGGUUUGAAUGAUUAUGUGGCUCUUUUCUAAAAGUCAAAAUUCACUUGACAAGGGCCAAUUCAAUUUUUCUGAAAUAUCUGAUAUGAAAUGAAGAAGCUUGUAGAUACUAAGAACUUUGGAGAACAUUGGAGGAGAGAAUGCCGGCAAUGGCUUGCACUUUCUUCAGCACCGCUGAGAGAAGGGUUUGGAAUGUGCCCUCUUGUGUUCCGGGCGAGUGCUCCCCAUCCUAAGCCACUCAGGUCCCCAGAACGCGACAGCACCUGGAGGGCAGUGAGCUCGUCGUCCUUGGCGUUUGAAGGCUAUCUACCUGUCCCAUCCCGGUAGGCCACCUUCCUGCUGGGAACACUGGAAAACCACAGAAUUGCUUCUGAUGAGGUCCCUGGGAAGAUGUGCUCCAGGACUCAAAGCCAUGCCUAAAGAG
rnacentral:lncRNA from 13 species